rnacentral:rRNA from 1 species
UGCAACAAGGUCUCCGUUGGUGAACCAGCGGAGGGAUCAUUA